UACAGAGGUCUCAAGCGUUGUUCGGAUUCAUUGGGCGUAAAGGGUGCGUAGGCGGCGCGGUAAGUCGGGUGUGAAAUCUUGGAGCUUAACUCCGAAACUGCAUUCGAUACUGCCGUGCUUGAGGACUGGAGAGGAGACUGGAAUUUACGGUGUAGCGGCGAAAUGCGUAGAUAUCGUAAGGAAGACCAGUGGCGAAGGCGGGUCUCUGGACAGUUCCUGACGCUGAGGCACGAAGGUCAGGGGAGCAAACGGG
rnacentral:rRNA from 1 species